rnacentral:rRNA from 1 species
AUUGAACGCUGGCGGCAUGCCUUACACAUGCAAGUCGAACGGUAACAGGUCUUCGGAUGCUGACGAGUGGCGAACGGGUGAGUAAUACAUCGGAACGUGCCUAGUAGUGGGGGAUAACUACUCGAAAGAGUGGCUAAUACCGCAUGAGAUCUACGGAUGAAAGCAGGGGAUCGCAAGACCUUGUGCUACUAGAGCGGCCGAUGGCAGAUUAGGUAGUUGGUGGGAUAAAAGCUUACCAAGCCGAUGAUCUGUAGCUGGUCUGAGAGGACGAUCAGCAACACUGGGACUGAGAAACGGCCCAGACGCCUACGGGAGGCGGCAGUGGGGAAUUUUGGACAAUGGGCGCAAGCCUGAUCCAGCAAUGCCGCGUGCAGGAUGAAGGCCUUCGGGUUGUAAACUGCUUUUGUACGGAACGAAAAGCCCUGGGUUAAUACCCUGGGGUCAUGACGGUACCGUAAGAAUAAGCACCGGCUAACUACGUGCCAGCAGCCGCCGUAACAC